AUGCCCGGGGGCCGCGCCGCGCCCGUCGCUCCGGAGCCGGGCGCGGCAGCCGCGGCGGGGCUGACUCGGAUCCGCGGCCGCCCCUUUCCCCGCCGCGCCACGGGAUCCCCGCGAGGGCUGGGCUGGCUUCCCGGCGGCAGCACCACGGACAGGGCCCCGCGGGCCCGGACAGCUCCGCCGCCCCGCUCUCCCCCCGCUCCCUGCCCGGCUACCGCGGCCGCCGCUCCGCGCCGGGAGGCGCCGGGCUCCGGCGGGGCGCGGAGCAGCAGCAGCAGCAGCAGCAGGUGGCCGCGGGGAACGGCGCGGCUCGGCCCGGGGCUGGCGGCGGGCGGCGGCCGGCGCUCCUUUGUUCUCCGCUCCCACCGGGGGGAGAGCGCAUCGCUGCGCGGGGGCGCAGCCUCCCUGCCCGCCGCGGCCGUGCAACGGCUGCGCGGAGCCCAGCCUAGCCCGGGCGGGGGGCACGGCCGGCGGCAGGCAUGCGCGGGCGCCUCCCCCCCGCCCCGGCCCCGGCCCCGGGCUCGCCGGGCUCCUUCUCCCUCCCUCCCUCCCUCCCGCCGGCGGCGGCGGCGGCGCCCGGGGGGUCGGCUGUCCCCGCCGCGGCAGCAGCUAAGCCGGGCUCCUCGGCCCCUUCGGGGCAAGCGCCGGGGGCAUCCUUCCUUCCCGGCGGGGGCGAGCCUGGCUAGAGGGGCCGGAGAGUCGGCAGCCUUCGUCCGGCCUCUGAAACAAAGCCCAGGCGGGAGGGGGGGAGAGUUAGACAUGCGGGGUCACGGAAAGGCCUCCGCCUCUCAUCAGUUUAAUACUAACGUUCGCACAGCUCUCCGAAGGUCACAGUUGCAAAUACAGGGAAAUCCUCUCUCCUCGCGUUCUAGUCCGAUUUCCAGGAGUCUAAUGCCAGCAGCAGGCUGGGCUUUCUCUGCUUGGACCGGGGCCACCGUGCCCCGAAGGGCUUCUCCAACUUUGAAGGUCACAGUGGACAGAGAGGGAAAAAUGAAGCGCUCGCUAAAUGCGCUCCUUCUUUUUAAAGCAUCUGCUCCGAUGGCAGCUCAAUAA
rnacentral:lncRNA from 1 species